rnacentral:tRNA from 1 species
GGCCUGUUAGCUCAGCUGGUUAGAGCGUGGUGCUACUAACGCCAAGGUUGGGGUUCGAUCCCCACAUGGGCCA